UACGGAGGGUACGAGCGUUGUCCGGAAUCACUGGGCGUAAAGGGCGCGUAGGUGGCCUGUGGAAGUCUGCGGUGAAAGCCCGGCGCUCAACGCCGGGUCGGCCGUGGAUACUCUCGGGCUUGAGCUCACUAGAGGCAGAUGGAAUUCCGGGUGUAGCGGUGGAAUGCGUAGAGAUCCGGAAGAACACCGGUGGCGAAGGCGGUCUGCUGGGGUGAUGCUGACACUGAUGCGCGACAGCGUGGGGAGCAAACAGG
rnacentral:rRNA from 1 species